UUUCUGCAGAGGACGACCGGUCCGCCCACUGGGUGUGUAUCUGGCUCGGCCUGUGCAUCUUCUUGGAGAACGUAUCUGCACUUCACUGUGUGGUGCGGUAUCCAGGACUUUUACUUUGAGGAAAUUAGAGUGUUUCAAGCAGGCACACGCCUUGAAUACAUUAGCAUGGAAUAAUAAGAUAGGACCUUGGUUCUAUUUUGUUGGUUUCUAGAACUGAGGUAAUGAUUAAUAGGGAUAGUUGGGGGCAUUCGUAUUUAACU
rnacentral:rRNA from 1 species